rnacentral:lncRNA from 1 species
UCAAUGUUCUUGGCAUGGAUUGGACAUCCAUUUGACAUUCUGCCAUAUACAUGGCUCAGUUCUCCCUACAACUUCAUUACUCAUGCACUGGGCAUGGACUAUCUCCCUCUGGCUGGUUUGAGGGGCAUAACCACAUAUCAGCCACUGGCCGUGAUGUCACAGUUUGACCAGUUUAAGGAGGUACAUCCUUUUGAGGGGGCGUUAGG